AAAGUGACAAAAUACCUAUGUCCGGUUUUGGAAACAACAGAAUAUGGUCGCAAACAUCAGAAUGAACUAACUUAAAAGGUGACUAAACUCGCUUAUUAACCCUUUGACCUAAUGAGAUGCAAUGGUGUUUUGCAAAUCAACAUGACUUACAAUCCAAUGAAGAAAUAUUCUGAAACUAAGGCAGAGCUUCUUCAACAUAGGUAAACAGGGAUGUCCCAAUCAAUAAUGUGCUUCAAAAAGAGACAUAACACUGGACCAUGCAACAGACCGUGACUCGUUCAUCAAGGAUGUAAAGAUCACCGUAUAAAUAUCCUUUGCUAAUAACCUGCUUCGUUGUAAGAUCUAAAAACCAACAAUGGUCGGGAAAAAAAGUGACAUAACAGUGAAGGUCUCUGGUGAUUUUGCUAACUAAAAUCAGAUUAAAGGCCAAGUUUGGUAGACUUAACUGUCUUUCUUCCUUCAUGGUAGGUGUUAGACCUCCAACAAUUGAACUCGGCGAGACAAGAAGAGUGUUUUCAUGAGGCAGCAAGAGUGUUGCAAAAUUGGUGCAAGAGUAGCGCCAAAAGUCA
rnacentral:lncRNA from 1 species